UUCAUGGAAUCACAGAAAUCCUAGAAACACUUAGAUUGGAAGGGACUUUCAAGUUCACCCAGUUCAGACCACUUUCCCCAGACAGAAGUGGCACCCACUUCCCCAGGCUGCUCAGGGCUCCAUCCAGCCUGGCCUUGAACUCUUCCAGAGAUGGGGCAUCCUCAGCCUCUCUGGGCAAAGGGAGAAGCUGUAACUCACCUCACAGCACACUGUGGGAAUGGGUGGAGGUGGUUUUUGAAAGCUCAGUCCAGGCUGGAAUGGUGUGAGCAGGGUUUGCUCCAGCAGAUCGUGUACAUGGCUGGCCCAUUGUGGCCCGAGCCUGGCCAGGCCUUGUCUGCAGGGCAUUCACAAUUUCAGCUCACAGCUCCAGCUCAGGGCAAACACCAUUUCAGUUUAGUUUUCCUGUUCCAGGUCUGAGGAACAAGUGAUAGUAUAGGGAUAAUGUGUUUCUAAAAUCUUGGAAUAUUCAACUGAGUUAGAAAGGAAGGACAGGCUUGGUAGGCCCUGGGAAAAUAUUAAGUGCCAAAUGCCACACUGAGAGAACCUCUCUGACAUCAGUGCUACUGCUGUCGACAUCGAGUACACUUCAUCUCUGCAAGAUAUGUCCUGUGACCAAUUUAUAUUUCAUCUCCUGCUGUACAUGACAUGAAUAUACUGCCAUGUAUUCAAGAGAAUUAAAGCAGAGCAAGUCAAAUUGGAAAGAGGCCUUUGGAAUACAGUUGCGUUCACCAUAUGUCCCUUCUCAGAACACAGACCCCACCUGAGGAUAAGGCUGGCACAGCAACAUGGAUAAAUGGGAGACCUGAAUUGGCUGUCUCCCUUCAGGUGGCUGAAAACAAUGGAAACUUGAAACAAUGUCUUCCAUCUUGCAGGUUGCCUGCAUUUUUUUAAUGGAGACUUGAAUGUAUUAAAUUUGCGUGAAAUAAUCCAUCAGGAUCCCGCCCUGCCUGCCACCAGGUCAUUAAAACUACUUUUCCUCUAAAGGAAAAACUCAGCCUACAGCAAUCCUGCCUUUCAUUUCUGAUGGUUGCACAUAACAAUGGACCAAGAUCAUUCUAUCUAGCAAAUCCCAGAUUUGCUACUUCAGCCUGAAAAAAGACAGUUAAAAUCCUGAGGAUCACAAGGGUGAUUGCAGCCAAGUGACAUAGAACUCCGAAGCAGACUAACAGGGAAAACUGAGCUGAAGAGGGCUGUUUUCCAUUUUCCCUAAAGACAGAAAUGGGAGAUAUGUGGGACAGGAAAAGAUGGAAAAGAAACGCAGAGAGGAGUUUCACAGAAACACCAUUGCUCAUGUGAACUGUGGCAUAAAGUGAAGGAACCAGAUUUUGUUUUGCCAUAUUUUACUUCAUGGAGGAGCAGGACACCCUAGAAAGUGUGGCCUUGGAGGAAAGAGUACCUGGAUUCACUGCAAGACAAUACCUGGGGCAGUGCAAUGAGAAGGAAAAAGAAUUAGAAAGUUCUGCUAAGGACCCAGAGUGGCUCUGGCUCCUGCUGUUGUUCACCUCCAGGAACAGCACCUGCAUGCUCUGCUUGAUGAUUCAAGAAGCAGUAUUUGCUAUGUUCCCAUUUCACAGGUGGGUUUUGGAAGAGUUGUGGGGAGAAAAAAUUGAGUUUAGGAGGCUAUGUUUUGGGAAAAAAAAAAGAAUUUAUCAAUAAAUUGACACAUUCCUCAAAAUGUUCCUAAUGCCUGCCUCUGCUUCUCACUUCCCCAAAAAGCUUGAUUUAUUUAUUAUAACUAAGACAAAACUGACAAAUUCUGGUGUGUUUUCCCAUGUAUGCUCAACUCACCAUCCUUAGCCCUCUUUCUGUGCUUCUCCACAGUCUCUAGUUACUGACCUAAA